GGACGGGUGUCUGAGAGGUUUAAGGUGUAGACCUGGAAAGUCUAUGUGGCAAUCCGCCAUCGGGGGUUCGAAUCCCCCCCCGUCCG
rnacentral:tRNA from 1 species